AAGCAGCCAUCCUUAGUGAUGCUGCCCGCAUGGUGACUCAGCUAAGGAGUGAAGCCCAAAAGCUGAAGGAUUCAAACGAGAGUCUCCAAGAGAAAAUUAAGGAGUUGAAGUCUGAGAAGAGCGAGCUCCGUGAUGAGAAGCAGAGGUUAAAGCAAGAGAAGGAGAACCUGGAACAACAAGUGAAGAUGUUGAGCGCUCGCCCGAGCUACAUGCCUCACCCUCCUGUAUUACCAGCAGCUGCCUUUGCUGCACAAGGACAACCUGCUGGCCACAAGAUGAUGAUGCCAGUCAUCAGCUAUCCUGGAUUUCCCAUGUGGCAGUUCAUGCCACCAUCUGAUGUUGAUACAUCUCAGGAUGCUGAGUCAUGCCCGCCUGUUGCUUGAGCUGAAUAUUGCAU
rnacentral:misc_RNA from 1 species